AAUUAGUAAUUCUUUAUAGAGAAGGAUGCUGUAAAGCAGGCUCAAAAUCCACGAUCCACAGCAGCAGAAAGGGAAGUUCAUUCUGCUGCUGGUAGUGUCUGGAAGAAAAGAUCUUUUUCCCCAGCUGGCUUCAGGAUGUCCUUCCUGAAAGUCCUGCUGUGUGUCCUGGUCCUGGCCAGCCCCUUGCUGAGUGAAGCUUCACAACCCAACUGCACUGGAGUUGAAGACUUUGGGGACUGUCUAGGUAAUACAGAUGACUUCUGUCCUACAAGUAUUCCUUGUCAGUGUAUGAAUGAAAAACCUUUUUGCAGAUGUAAGUACUACAGAAUAGGCUGGAAGGAGUUCUGGUACACGGGCCCCAGAUGUAACCACCUUUGGAAUACUCUGACUUUCAUUUUAGUUGCUACUCUUCCUGCAGUGGCACUGGUUAUCAUAGUGGUUGUAAUAUUUUGCACUGUCUACUGCUUUAAAAUGGAAAACGCUAGGAAGCAGCCAAAGCCUCCAUAAAUUCCCAUUGUUCCCCCCCAGGAAGCAGCCAAAGCCUCCAUCCAGUGGAGCACAGCAGAACCCUGCAUUCAGUUCUGAGCCAGCUGCUGACCUGGAGCACGGGCACCAUCAGCCAGCCGGGGAUGCCUGGGUUGGACAAAUUCCAAAAGUUGUACUGAAAAUACAAGAUUUUAAUGAUGCUCCAAUGCCAAAUCAAAAGAGGAAUUAUAGGUAUGCUGCUAUUUUCUGUCUUUUGUGCUCAUUUGCACAUUAUACCCUGGUUUGGAGACUCAGAAUGACUUUGCAGCUUUGCCAAUGGCACAGCAAGCAACAAAGAUCCAAAAGUAAAUGGCAAAGCUUUUGACUGGAUUAUUCACAUACAAAUCCUAAAAUUCUGCUUUAUCCGGAGGCUUCUCUGGUUUUCCUCUAAUCCCAGAGGCAUUCAUUUCCUUAGUGUGUAGAAACACAGCUCCCUGCCUGUGCUUCCUCACUUGAAUCCCCCUCAGCUCACAGCCAACUGCUGCAGCUCUUACUGCAACUUCUGCAGAGAACUGGUUUGCCAGGGUGCAGCUCAGUGAGAGCACAAGAGUCUCCUCACACGUAGCAGGGUUCUGCUGCAGACAGGGACUGGAGCUUGCUGAUGUUUCAGUUCCUCAAGGAGGUCUGGGUUUUUUUUCAAUACAAAUGUUGAAAAUGUUGAAGGUAUAGCUGUGGUGAAUUUAAAACAUUUUGAAAAUAAUUGUAGGAAUAUAGAAAAUUAGGUACUGUGGCAUUGUUUAUUGUGAAAAGAAAAUAAAAGCUUAAAGAGAAUGUUGCUUCUAUAAAUUCAGUCUUCUCUGUUUGCAGGAUGAGGGCUUGACAGUAAAAUGCACUUAAAAGACCUUUUGGAUGUUACUGUCUCAAUGCCAUACAUGAAGUAGUGAGCUUUAUUUUUAUAUUUCAGUUUAAACUAACCCUUUGUGCAAUUUGCAGUUUAUGAUAAGGUUUUAAUAACCUUUUUCUCUUUUGCAUAGCCAUAUGUAUGAUCAACCUCUAAGAACAGCACAUCCAUCAUCAGAUUAUUUCCCUCAGUCCCGUGCCCAGCGGGAUGAGUUUGACUUUUCCAGGAAGGAUUUGCCUUGGCCAGUUUAUCCAGAGGCAAGACAGUACCGGAGGUACUAAGAACAAGUGCUUCCUAUAUCAAAUGUCUUGGAAUGCUGCUGAUCACUGAACAAUCCAGGUGCUGAGAGAGCAGUGAGGCCCUGGUGGGACACAGAGGAAAUUGCCAUCCUUACUAGAGAGCACUAAGUUACUGCAAAGAGGAGGUAUUGAGGAUAAUUGUAAAAGAAAACCUGAUAUGACAUGACAUUAACAUCUAAUUUAUUUACUGUGUAAUUGGUGACAGCUUCACGUGAAUCCCCUGAUACUGCAGUGCACAAGGGUCUGGCCCUGGCAGUGUGGUGACACAGCCAAGGACUUGGCCUCUCUCUGUCCCAAUAUUUAUCAAAUACCUACAGACCCAUUCCCCUGUCUCUUGUCUUUUUUGUCUUCUUUCUGUGUUGAUCCUAACAGCUGGAAUGGUUUGCCUUUAAAACUGCCCUGGCUUGCUUUGUAACUUUUUUGUAAAUGAGGACAAUAAAUGAAGCUAUAGUCACUAAGUAACAAAUUAAAGAGACUGAAGACUGGGAUUUAUUUCCCAUUUCCAAAAA